AAACAUGCAGUCGAGCGGUAGCACAGAGAGCUUGCUCUCGGGUGACGAGCGGCGGACGGGUGAGUAAUGUCUGGGAAACUGCCUGAUGGAGGGGGAUAACUACUGGAAACGGUAGCUAAUACCGCAUAAUGUCGCAAGACCAAAGUGGGGGACCUUCGGGCCUCAUGCCAUCAGAUGUGCCCAGAUGGGAUUAGCUAGUAGGUGGGGUAACGGCUCACCUAGGCGACGAUCCCUAGCUGGUCUGAGAGGAUGACCAGCCACACUGGAACUGAGACACGGUCCAGACUCCUACGGGAGGCAGCAGUGGGGAAUAUUGCACAAUGGGCGCAAGCCUGAUGCAGCCAUGCCGCGUGUAUGAAGAAGGCCUUCGGGUUGUAAAGUACUUUCAGCGGGGAGGAAGGCGAUAAGGUUAAUAACCUUGUCGAUUGACGUUACCCGCAGAAGAAGCACCGGCUAACUCCGUGCCAGCAGCCGCGGUAAUACGGAGGGUGCAAGCGUUAAUCGGAAUUACUGGGCGUAAAGCGCACGCAGGCGGUCUGUCAAGUCGGAUGUGAAAUCCCCGGGCUCAACCUGGGAACUGCAUUCGAAACUGGCAGGCUAGAGUCUUGUAGAGGGGGGUAGAAUUCCAGGUGUAGCGGUGAAAUGCGUAGAGAUCUGGAGGAAUACCGGUGGCGAAGGCGGCCCCCUGGACAAAGACUGACGCUCAGGUGCGAAAGCGUGGGGAGCAAACAGGAUUAGAUACCCUGGUAGUCCACGCCGUAAACGAUGUCGAUUUGGAGGUUGUGCCCUUGAGGCGUGGCUUCCGGAGCUAACGCGUUAAAUCGACCGCCUGGGGAGUACGGCCGCAAGGUUAAAACUCAAAUGAAUUGACGGGGGCCCGCACAAGCGGUGGAGCAUGUGGUUUAAUUCGAUGCAACGCGAAGAACCUUACCUGGUCUUGACAUCCACAGAACUUACCAGAGAUGGCUUGGUGCCUUCGGGAACUGUGAGACAGGUGCUGCAUGGCUGUCGUCAGCUCGUGUUGUGAAAUGUUGGGUUAAGUCCCGCAACGAGCGCAACCCUUAUCCUUUGUUGCCAGCGGUUCGGCCGGGAACUCAAAGGAGACUGCCAGUGAUAAACUGGAGGAAGGUGGGGAUGACGUCAAGUCAUCAUGGCCCUUACGACCAGGGCUACACACGUGCUACAAUGGCAUAUACAAAGAGAAGCGACCUCGCGAGAGCAAGCGGACCUCAUAAAGUAUGUCGUAGUCCGGAUUGGAGUCUGCAACUCGACUCCAUGAAGUCGGAAUCGCUAGUAAUCGUAGAUCAGAAUGCUACGGUGAAUACGUUCCCGGGCCUUGUACACACCGCCCGUCACACCAUGGGAGUGGGUUGCAAAAGAAGUAGGUAGCUUAACCUUCGGGAGGGCGCUACC
rnacentral:rRNA from 1 species